rnacentral:lncRNA from 1 species
AGUAUGUCAACACACACACAUACUCACAGUUUGGAAUCAUUUUCUUUUGCACUUGAAGGAGCUUUUGUUAAGUGGCCUGGAAGUGAGAUUGCUGUGCAUCCAUCGUGGCAAAAUUAAUCCAGGAGUGAAAAUGCCAAAAAGGAACCAGUUGUUUCUAUUCUGAACACUUCCUUCAGUGGUCUGAAUGAGAAAGCAAAGUACUUCCUGCAAGCUUCCCUGUAGCUCCUUUGAGAGUUAUCAAUGCCUCCUUCUUCUAAUCAGGGCCAUCAUCAAAGCUGAAGGGCGGCAAGUCCUUAACAAGCAGGAGACUGAGUCUUACAAAGAAAAAAAAAAUGGUAGCUGAUCUCAUCAGUUUCCAGAGAAACUGCAAUUGAAUUCUUUAGAAAUUAUACAAGGGAAUCAAUGAUGCAGAGGAAAAAUAAUUCAUAAAAGUGUUGAAAAUGCACACACUCACAGAGUUUGCAUUAGGGAUAAAAGCAUUAACUUUGGGAUCAGGUAAUCGAAGACUACUUCUCUAUUACACAUUCAUGAUGCUUGGGCCACUCAGUCUCUGAGCUUCAGUUUCCUCAUAUAUAAAUGGGAAUAAUAGUAACAUGUUAUGUAUAAAGCUCACAAGAGUAAUGAUAAGUGGGGAAUGUUUAGCAUGAAGGGCAACAGGUUAAAAACAAUGGCAAAUAGAAGAAAAUUUAUUUUAGUUGGACUUGUGCUGUAACAAAUUUUGACCUUGAUAUAAAGCCUCCUCUGUGUCCCCAUCUCUCCUUUCCUUGUAUACUCUAGCAUUGCACUUCCACUGCGCUGAGAGCAAUACUUUCUUGCUUAACUCCUUGCAAUGGACUGUAAGGUCUUUGAGGACAAUGACCAUGACUACCUAUGCCUUUUUCAGCUUUCCAUUAAUGGUAUCUGCAUAGGGCCUGACAUUAGCAGCACUUAACAAAAACUAAUUUGAUAGAUACAUUAAGCACUUUAUGAAUGGAUAUAUCCUGUUUUGUGAACAUAACAGAAUAUUUGAACCGUAAGGGCUCAUCUAUUUAAUGCUUCUUUUACACAUGUAAUUGCUAUGACACAGGAAGACUAAUUAUUCGUUCACAUAGUAACUUGGAGGUAGACUCAGAAUUACAGUGUCUAUCUCCAGUAUCCUGAACAUGGUGCUUUUUCUGCUGCCUCACACUGCCUCCCUUCAUUAUGCUUCUUUUUAUUUAAAUGUCAGAAAAUGAGAAAUUAGGGUCUGUGUGGUUUCUUAUAAAGAGCUAUUAUGACUGAUCUUUCUAUGUUUACAUUUUUAGCAUAAAUCUUUACAAAACAACUGCAAUCUUUGCAGAUAACUUUAGGUGAAGUGUAUUCUGGGAAUGUUUGAAUUCAUUGUCAGAGUAUUUUCUGACAAAGCACAUGGACCAAAGAUCUGACAAAAUGCUAAUCAAAGACAAAGAGAAGCUAGUACCUUAUAAUGAAAUCUAUAAAUGCAUAGAGAAAAGUACACUGUUAUAUUUAGGACUUGGAUGGAUUCUUUUAUGUGAAUGCAUAUUAGAAGUUGUUGUUAUUGGUUAGUAAAAAAUAAUUUCAUAGCUGAUCUUAAAAUAUGUAUGCAGUUGAAAACGUAUGAGCCCCUAUUUUCAUAGUACCCAAUAUAAAUCAUAAACUUAGAUACCACUGAGUCAGGAUUUGUGAUAUGAC